rnacentral:rRNA from 1 species
UACGGGGGGGGCAAGCGUUGUUCGGAAUUACUGGGCGUAAAGGGCUCGUAGGCGGCCAACUAAGUCAGACGUGAAAUCCCUCGGCUUAACCGGGGAACUGCGUCUGAUACUGGAUGGCUUGAGGUUGGGAGAGGGAUGCGGAAUUCCUGGUGUAGCGGUGAAAUGCGCAGAUAUCAGGAGGAACACCGGUGGCGAAGGCGGGUCUCUGGGCCAUAACUGACGCUGAGGAGCGAAAGCGUGGGGAGCGAACAGG